rnacentral:lncRNA from 1 species
AUCAUUGGAAAAUCGUCUGAGAAUAGCCUCAGAAGCUGCUGGUGCACUUGCGUAUCUUCAUUCAGCAGCCUCUAAGCCUGUAAUUCACAGAGAUGUCAAGUCUGCCAACAUAUUAUUAGACGAACAUUACACUGCAAAAAUUUCAGAUUUUGGAGCGUCGAGAUUAAUCUCCUUGGAUCAAACUGAAGUGACAACGUUAAUCCAAGGGACCCUUGGAUAUCUUGAUCCCGAGUACUUCCACACGAGUCAACUGACAGAAAAAAGCGAUGUUUACAGCUUUGGGGUGGUUCUUGCAGAACUUUUGACAGGGAAAAAACCCCUUGAUAUGCAGAGACGCCAAGAAGAAAAAAAUCUUGCAACAUAUUUCAUCAAGUCCAUGAAAGAAAAUCGUUUGUUUUCUAUUCUUGAGCCUCGGGUUUUGAGGGAAGGAACUUUAGAGCAACUCCAAUCCGUUGCUGAACUUGUCAAGAGAUGUUUGUCCUUGGAUGGUGAAGAUAGACCUACAAUGAAAGAAGUGGCAAUGGAACUUGAAGGUUUAAGGAAAUUCACUAAACAUCCAUGGGCUAAUCAGUCUGUGCACGAAGAAAACGUUGGGUUAAUAAAAAAUCAAAGUGAAGCAUCAGAUCUUUAUACUUCUCCAAUCCCCUCAAAUGACUUGUAUUCGAUUCAAAUGGGGACUUACACUAGCACUGGGGAAUUCUCUGGACAACAUAUCUCCGACAGUUCUCGUUUGAUGUUUCCUGUAAACAGCCCUCGGUGAUAGUUCAUAGUAUACGUUCAAGUUCAGCGAUGACUUAGACCAGAGUCAAAUCAUGUGGCGUUCCUCUUCAAUACUGUACAAUCCAUCUUUCAAGUCAAGCUAUCGCUUCUUUAUUUGUUUAUGUUUCUUCUUCAUCUACAAUUUGGAUUUCUUCUUAUGAAAUCUCCUUAUUGUCCAGUGAUUAGUCUUUUUUUUGUUUUUUAACGUUUUACUAAUUUUUUUGCCUAAUGAUUAAUAUCUAAUGUACUAUUGAUUCAGUUAGAUCCAUUCAAAAUUGAAAGAGUUGGAGAUCAUUAUACCAUUCAAAAACGUGAGAACAAACCAAUAUUCGUAAUUCAUGCACCCAAACAAUAUAGAAACGAAGAGAGAAAUGUGAGACUCACCUUCUUUACUACAUCGGUCUAUCUUCCUCUCUACCUAUAUAUUCCUCACCUCCACACCUCCACUCACUACCACUACCUCAACCCACGAAGACAUUACCUAUUAUUCUCCCAACUCCAUCCCUUUUAUUUAAGAGAGGAUCUUAGAGAUAUCUCCUGAAUUUUAUGGUAAUAUUAUCCAGACGCCUCUCACAUUUAAAAAAUCAUAUUAUCUUCUUUGUUCUAGUUUUGUGCAUCACAUAAUUUUUUGAGCCGUAUAUCAUCUAAAAUGAUGUUGAUAUACCUAAAAAAUUAAAUUUCUAGAAUUUUUUGCAAUAUAUUUGUUCCCUUUAAAUUAAUACGCCAGAAUUCUAGAUUGCAUGCUAGUGAAAAUUCAAACCUAAUGAAGAAUUUGGUGAUAAAUAAAACAAGAAGUUAAAUAUAAACAUGUAAUUUUUUAUUAUUCAAGUAAGCGGAAAAAUAGUAAGAGUUAAUUCAUUGAAAUGAUAUGCACCUUCACAAUUUGUUGUUAAAUGAUAUAUAAUAAAAUGUUAUAUUAAUCAUUAUGAUUUGGCAGUGUAAUAUCGUUUUAUCCCUUUUUGAUCAUUUGAUAUUUAAUUAUAUUAAUCGAUAUUUAUUAUUAUUUUUAAAUUAAGUACUAUAUAUAAUAUUACUUAUGAAUAACUAUGUCAAACAUGCUCUAUAAUUUACUUUGAGCAAUUUUAACUACAACUGAUCAUUGUCACAGAUUUCAUCUUUUCCUUUACAAGGGAAUUUAAAAUAUAAGUCAUCAAGAGUGUGUAGAUAUUCAAAAUUAGAAAUAAGGGAGCUUAGGGUAAUGUUCUAAACAUGAUGGGGGUGUCUCUCAUACAUUUUUUUUUAUUUGAAACACCCAAAAUAAAAAAUCGGUAAUGAUCACAAUUUUAAACAUGAUGGGGGUGUCUCUCAUAGUCAUAUAGUCUCGAUAUUUUUUAAAAAUAAUUUUAAAUAUAAAAGUUGAACAAAUCUUGAAACACUAGCACUAAUUCUCAACCCUGGAUGGGCCUAACAGUGGCUUCUUAUAACCCAUCUCACUCUAAAGAUCCGAGUGCGUCAGAUUGGAAGCCUUACAUCCUAAAUAAAAUGGAACUCGCCCAAUUUUAGGGGAAUGUAUUUAAUUGAGACUUUAAAAUUUUGAUGGACUUUUUUAAAGUGACAAUUUCUGUGGAUUUCGUGAAUCUUUUAUAGGUUUGUAUGAAAUUAGUGGAAGACUUUGAUAGAUUUCAAUUGACUUUCAUUAUAAAAUUUUUAUAGAUUUUUGUAGAAUUUUAAAAACUUUUGAAGACUUUCAUUUGAAAUAGAACUCAUGUGAAUCUAAUAAAAUGAUGUGAAAUUCUCACAUACAUUACGAGGUGUGUUGGUUCCCACAAUUCUCUUUUCCUUCCCAUUCUUCUUCCCAUAUAAUAAAAAAAAUUAAAAGAAUAAAAAUUUAAAACAUUGAUUAAGCCCCCGUUCGGUCCCCAUUAUUAUUCUCACUCUUUUUAUCUCUCUUAUUUUCAACCACACAAUCUUCUAUAAAAUAAUAUUAUACGCAAAUAAAAAAAAUUUCAUUCUUUUUCAACCACACAUUAUUCAAAAAAUACUAUUCCAAUCAUUAAAAUUUGGCAGGAACGGGGGCCAAACAGGUGCUAAAUAAAUAAUGAUCAAAAUUAUAAAUAUAUAUGAUAAACAAUAAAUUUAAUAUUCAAUAUUAUUAGUAUAAUAUACUUUUAAAAAUAAAUAAAAAUAAAUAUAUUUAAAUUUAACUAUAAAUUCUUCAUAUAGAAUUUUAUAUUUCAAUAAAAAAUAGAUAUUUUUCACAAAAAAAAAAGAAUGAAAAACGAAAAAAGUGUUACAAGAAUCCAAUAAUUUUUCAUAGAAAAUAGAGAUAAACAAUAAGUGAGAAAAAGAUGAAAAUAAAUAUAAUCAAUAUAAAAAAUAAAUUUUAAUCAUACUUGUUCGUAGAAGGAAAAAGGAAAGAAAGAUUGAAAUAUAUAUAUAUAUAUAUAUAUAUAUAUAUAUAUAUAUAUUGUGAAAGUUUUUCAAAAUCUUGUGAUUAAUGAGAGAUAAAUUUUAAGAUUUUAUAUGAGUAUUUUCUGCUUAAAAGUUAGUAUUCCAGUCAUUAAAAUUUGAAUACCCCGAAACUUAUAGAGACUUCUAAAAAACUUUAAUUGAAUACAUCAUAACUUUUAGAGACUUUUUAGAAGUAUAUAAAAGUUUCAAUUAAAUAUAUCGUGACUUUUAGAGAUUUCCUAAAAGUCACUAAAAUACACCUUGACUUUUAGAGAGUUUCAAAAAGUCUCAAUUGAAUACCCUUAAAUUUUUUAAAUCCCAAGAAGUCAUUAAAAUUCUCAAUUGAUUACAUCCCCUUAUUCAUUUUUGAGAAAAAUUGGUGCGUUUGACUGUCUAUAUUUUCCAUACAAAAAUGUCAUUUUCCACCCAAAUCCCAAAUUUUGUGCUGUUUGAUUGAUAUUUUUUUCAGAAAAAAUAGUUUUCUAGUUUUGAUCACAUGAUCAUAUUUUCCUUGAAAACAAGGAAAAUACUUGCUUGCAUGGGUGAGAAACUACUAGCUCAUGGAUGAAUAUUGAUUAAAAUCAUAUUGGUUAUUGAGCGAUUGACAAAAAACAUAAUGAAUUAUGAGACCUAGCUGGAGUAGCUUUUCUUAGAAGCCAUAAUUCAUUUUCAUUUCGUACAAUUUUUUCCUAUCUACUAGAAAAGAAAUAUAGAAAAUAUGACAUUAUCGUACUAUUAUAGAACCAGUUGUGUUCACUUGUAGCAUGGUAAUUAGUCGUAUAAUGUUAAGAAAGAUUGUUUAGGCCUGUCAUGAGGCUGAUUUUUUUCUUUUAUAUCUUCAAUAUUGUACAGUCCAUCUCAUUGAACACAUCACAUAUGUUCUACAUGGCCACAAAAAUUACAAGGCAGCUCAAUCUCAAACCACCACUAAUUUCCCGGUAUGUCAACAGAAAACGAAAAUUGUACACACCUCUCAUUCCUUUAUUGGCAAGAUAGCCAGCAUCAAGUAGAACCUGAAAUGCACAAAACCAAGGGCGGAUCUGGGGGAUCCUAAAGGGUCAAUUGAUCCCCCAGUUUUUGAAAAAAAUAAAAAUAAAAAUUCUAAAAUUCUGCCUUUUUUUUAGAAUGUCAAAGUUUAAAACCUCCACUAUAAAUAUAUAAUGCAAUCGAUAAUUUCAAACUUUGCUUUGUGCCUUUGUUUCUCUCUCCCAGUUUCUCGAUCGCGGACUGUCAGUACCAUUUACAGUUUACUCACCGUAUAAAAGUUUGAUUGUGACCCCUUAACCCAAAGUGUCUGGAUCCGUCCCUGCACAAACUACUACCCUUCUGCCUAAAAAACUAUGCCAUGAAGGGGGUGAACUAUUUACAAUGUUGGUUGUGCUAGAAUAUAAUUUUAAAUAUAAAAGUUGAACAAAUCUUGAAGAAAAAUGCUGUUUGUACAAUGGUUUAUUCACAAUUUACAUUACAUAAUUUCAAAAAAGGCUGAGUUGUCAGGCAAAAAAAGAAAAAAAGGAAAUGAGAAAGUAAAAAGGAGGGAAAUAGACAUUGGGAACCACAUCACCUGCUUCUUCACGCUAAAACAAGCUGCUUCAACCAUUUUGGCCCAAAUCCAGAGACACAUUUUCCCCUUUUUCACGAAAAUGCACUGAGAAAUACAACAUUAAUUUCUGGACAUACGAUAGUGAAAUCCAAACCACCGUGGUCAAGAAACUGCACAAAUAAGAUUUAUUGAAGCCAACGACUGUGGUCGGCAAAUUUCCCGACUCCUAAAGCCGGCGACUGUUGUCAACAAAUUUCAAAAAUGUAACCGGGUCCAUUACAUAAUCUUUCUCGACGGCACUUCUCACGUCUCUUCAAGUGUGAAUAUUGCAUUAUUCGAACCAAAGGUAUUUGAGUAAUUUUAUAGAUAAUUUUUCCAAGUUUGAACUGAUGUGAUUCAGGGACGCAUUUUUAUAGACAAAUUUCCAAAAUGUAACCGGGCCAUGCUAUGAUUUAUUGAAGCAUUCGAAACGAAUUCUGCUUGUGUGAUAUUUCUUUGAAGGUGAUCGAUAUGAUGAGCAAGCCUUUGAUUUAUCUUUGUUUUGGUAAUGAGCAGGUUCCCCUGGUUCUGGACUGUGAGCUGGACAUUGAUUUAGAAGCGGAGCAGUGGCUUUCGUGGUUGAUUUUCAUCUUUAUUCACAUUGAUAAUUUUUCCAAAUCUGUAGUUCAUCGUUGGUUUUCGUAUUUGUUAAGUAUGUAGCUGCUAAUGUUAAUGAAAUUGUCAAUUAAUAAAAUGUCAUACAGACAAUUUUCAACUGGACUUUGAGCCAUGCAUGGAAUAGUUGGGCUUCACUCAAUUACAUUAAUUUCGUGAAACUAUUAAAAUGUUCUUACUUCAGUGUUUUUGAUUUGUAUACAUCCUCACAUAGUAGAAAGUGACAUGUUUAAUAUCUUCCUGUCCAGAGGCAGAAGGCAUGGUGGAAUCCGGUGAGUUGUUGGUGGAGUCUGAUGAUGAGAAUGUGGAGAACAACAUGAUCAUUCUGGACGAUGAAAAUAUUGGAGUUGAUGAUCUGAUAGUGCCUGCAGUUGGUAUGAAAUUCAAAGAUGAAACGGAAGUCUUCGACUUUUAUAAAAGAUAUGGUUAUGCCGUUGGUUUCCCAGUUCGGAAACGAAAUUCGAAAAAAGACGACGACGGGGUUUUGAGAUAUGUGACCUUGACAUGUAGUCGUGAAGGUCGUCGAAGUAGUACUACAAGCGGUUCUUUGAAGCCUCAACCAACAAUUCAGACUGAUUGUAAAGCGAGGAUCUCUGCAUCUUUCGAUGUACUUGGUACCUGGAGAAUAAAUACAGUCCACCUUGAGCAUAAUCAUAAAACCAGUCCUUCAAAGUCCAGAUUGUAUCGUUGUAAUAGAGAAUUGAGUGCACAAGUAAAGCGGAGGCUUGAAGUUAAUGAUACGGCAGGAAUUCCAUUGCACAAAAGUUUUAACUCUGCCGUUGUUGAAGCAGGUGGGUAUGAGAACUUGACAUACGUAGAAAAGGACUGUCGGAACUAUAUUGAACAAGUGUGACGACUAAGACUCGGAGAAGGAGAUGCCGUAGCCAUACAGUCCUACUUUUCAGAAAUGCAAGUGCGAUGCUCGGGCUUUUACUUUAGUAUUGAUUUGGACGACGAAUCGCGGUUGAAGAAUGUGUUUUGGGCGGACUAUCGAUGUAGGCAAGCAUAUAGGGAGUUCGGGGAUGUUGUUACGUUCGAUACCACUUACCUCACAAAUAAGUAUGACAUGCCCUUUGCCCCUUUUGUUGGCGUAAACCAUCACUGCCAAUCAACACUGCUUGGAUGUGGUUUGAUAUCGAAUGAGGACACGAACACUUUUGUGUGGCUGUUCAGGACAUGGCUUAAAUGCAUGCAUGGUCAACCUCCGCAUGGAAUAAUUACCGAUCAGGACAGGGCUAUGCAAAAUGCUAUUGAGGUUGUUUUUCCACAUACAAAACACAGGUGGUGUUUAUGGCAUAUUUUGAAGAAAUUACCUGAGAAGUUUGGAUAUCACUGCCAAUCAACACUGCUUGGAUGUGGUUUGAUAUCGAAUGAGGACACGAACACUUUCGUGUGGCUGUUCAGGACAUGGCUUAAAUGCAUGCAUGGUCAACCUCCGCAUGGAAUAAUUACCGAUCAGGACAGGGCUAUGCAAAAUGCUAUUGAGGUUGUUUUUCCACAUACAAAACACAGGUGGUGUUUAUGGCAUAUUUUGAAGAAAUUACCUGAGAAGUUUGGAUAUCACGUGGAUAAGGGUUUGAUAUUCUCGACUAUUCAUGAAUUGGUAUAUGAUUCACAAUUUAUUGAACAAUUUGAACAAGGUUGGAGAGUAAUGAUCGAUACGUUUGAGUUGCAUGACAAUGACUGGUUGUCGGGAUUGUAUGAGAAUAGAGGACGUUGGGUUCCUUGCUACUUCAAAACAACGUUUUGGGCUGGGAUGUCGACAACACAGCGAAGUGAGAGUAUGAACGCCUUCUUUGAUGGUUAUGUGCAUGCCAAGACUUCAUUGAAACAAUUCGUCGAACAGUAUGAAAGAGCACUACGAAAUAAGGUUGAAAAGGAAUUUCAGGCUGAUUUUAAGUCUUUUUCACAGAUGGUACCAUGUGCUACAACAUAUGAAAUGGAAAAGCAAUUUCAGUCAGUCUACACCAUUUCCAAAUUUCGAGAAGUUCAAGCUGAGUUUACGGGAAAAGUGUACUGUGACCUUAUAUCUGCUUCGCAGGGACAUUUUGGGAUGACGUAUGAAGUACGAGAGGAUGUUGUGUGUGGCAAUCGCCGAACCAAAAAGACAUUUCGAGUAGUCCUUCAGAAAGAUACAUGUGACAUUACUUGCAGCUGCCACUUGUUCGAGUUUCGGGGAAUAAUUUGCAGACACACGAUCGCAGUGUUGAUUCGUAAUGAUGUUACCAUACUACCGAGCCGCUACAUAUUGAGGAGAUGGAGGAGAGACGUAAGUAGAGCACAUACGAGGGUACCAGUUAAUUACGCUGGUUUGGUAAGUACUCCUGGGCAAUUGAGGUACGACAAUAUGUGUCAAGCGUUCUCCUCGGUUGCUGACCUUGCAGCAGACGAUGAAGUCCGCUCACGUGCGGUAAUGAAUUGGAUUGAAGUGAUAAAGAAAGAGCUUAUGAUGUCACCUCCAAGUACUGGUAGUAAUAUCUUAUCGCACAAUACUUUUCAGUUACCCUCACAAGGUACUGGAUCGCAAAAUACUGUUGGUGGGAGCAUAGGAGAUCCUAAACAAUCAAAGAAAAAGGGCGCGCCAAAGAAACUUCGAAGGAAAAGCCCGUUGGAGACAUGUUCAAAGAAAACAAAGGUAGAUAUAUUAUUUCAUUUGUUGGCAACCUUAAAAAUAAAUUAUCAUUUUUUCGAAUUUUCUCACAGGUGUCGUCGACUGCAUGCAUAAGACAGAAUAACCCAGCUCAUGAUGCACCAAAAGUUCAGGUAUCUGAAGAACAACAACAUGCCACGCCAACAUCAUCAUCGUAUUCACACCAAUUCUUGGUACGUACAUGUAUUUCAUAAUUUUUGUUCGCAUUGAUGUGUUAUGUAUGUUGGUACUUUAUGUAGGGCGGUGAGGAAAGUUUUGCAUUUGCACCACAUAUACCAUCGCCCAGUGCGACCCAGUUGGGUAAGACACAUGCUAUGUUAAAUUCUGAUGGUAAAUCCUCAUCCUAAUUGGCUAUUCGAACUUGUAUUUUUUAUUUGCACGUAAUAAUGUAUGGUUUUGGAAGUUAGGUAACGUAGUUUACAACUACUAUCCACAUGCCCGUAAUGCAAGGGACACAGGCUUGUGACGGGACGUCAAAAGGUAAUAUUUAUAGAUAUACUUAUUCUAUGUUGAAACCCAAAUUCGAAAUAAUUUAAUUACGAGAAGUUAAUUGGAAUAAAUGUCACCUAAUGAGGGCAGUUAAGGACUACAUGUUUAAUUUAUUUUGUGAAGGCAAUUGAGCUUGGACUAAUACUUGUAGUAUAUUCUUUGUACAGCCCAGUGGUAGGGAGAGGUUUUGUGCACCUCCAUUAACUCUGGCCAGUUGGUUUCUGUUACUUUUCUGGAUUUUGAUGAGCUUUUGCAAGAUUUUAUGACUAGCCAGUUCCUGGUAGCUUUUCUGGAUUCAACAUAUGCAGACAAGGAUUUUAUUCAAUGAAAUAUUUAGCGGAGGAAUGUAUGCUUACUUUUUUGGUUAAAAGCAUAGGAAUUCUGUGGAAGUGAUAGCCACUUUUGUUAAACGAAUGUCAAGUNNNNNNNNNNNNNNNNNNNNNNNNNNNNNNNNNNNNNNNNNNNNNNNNNNNNNNNNNNNNNNNNNNNNNNNNNNNNNNNNNNNNNNNNNNNNNNNNNNNNNNNNNNNNNNNNNNNNNNNNNNNNNNNNNNNNNNNNNNNNNNNNNNNNNNNNNNNNNNNNNNNNNNNNNNNNNNNNNNNNNNNNNNNNNNNNNNNNNNNNNNNNNNNNNNNNNNNNNNNNNNNNNNNNNNNNNNNNNNNNNNNNNNNNNNNNNNNNNNNNNNNNNNNNNNNNNNNNNNNNNNNNNNNNNNNNNNNNNNNNNNNNNNNNNNNNNNNNNNNNNNNNNNNNNNNNNNNNNNNNNNNNNNNNNNNNNNNNNNNNNNNNNNNNNNNNNNNNNNNNNNNNNNNNNNNNNNNNNNNNNNNNNNNNNNNNNNNNNNNNNNNNNNNNNNNNNNNNNNNNNNNNNNNNNNNNNNNNNNNNNNNNNNNNNNNNNNNGUUUUCUUUUAUUUUUUUCCCCUCAAUUCCACGUCACAUUGUAAGGUAUGUUGUAAGUCCCAUUGUACGAGUAGCGGGACUGAAUCUUGAAACACUAGCACUAAUUCUCAACCCCACAUGGGCCUAACAGUGGCUUCUUAUAACCCAUCUCACUCUAAAGAUCCGAGUGCGUCAGAUUGGAAGCCCUACAUCCUAAAUAAAAUGGAAGUCGCCCAAUUUUAAGGGAAUGUAUUCAAUUGAGACUUUAAGAUUUUGAUGGACUUUUUUAAAGUGACAAUUUCUGUGGAUUUCAUGAAUCUUUUAUAGGUUUGUAUUAAAUUAGUGGAAGUCUUUGAUAGAUUUCAAUUGACUUUCAUUUUAAAAUUUUUUAUAGAUUUUUGUAGAAUUUUAAAGACUUUUGAAGACUUUCAUUUGAAAUAGAAUUUAUGUGGAUCUAAUAAAAUGAUAUGAAAUUCUCACAUACAUUAUGAGGUGUGUUGGUUCCCACAAUUCUCUUUUCCUUCCCAUUCUUCUUCCCAAAUAAUAAAAAAAAUUAAAAGAAUAAAAAUUUAAAACAUUGAUUAAGCCCCCGUUCAGUCCCCAUUCUUAUUCUCAUUCUUAUUCUCUCUCUUAUUUUCAACCACACAAUCUUCUAUAAAAUAAUAUUAGACGCAAAUAAAAAAAAUUUCAUUCUUUUUCAACCACACAUUAUUAAAAAAAAUACUAUUCCAAUCAUUAGAAUUUGGCAGGAACGGGGGCCAAAUGGGUGCUAAAUAAAUAAUGAUCAAAAUUAUAAAUAUAUAUGAUAAACAAUAAAUUUAAUAUUCAAUAUUAUUAAUAUAAUAUACUUUUAAAAAUAAAUAAAAAUAAAUAUAUUUAAAUUUAACUAUAAAUUCUUCAUAUAGAAUUUUAUAUUUCAAUAAAAAAUAGAUAUUUUUCACAAAAAAAAAAGAAUGAAAAACGAAAAAAGUGUUACAAGAAUCCAAUAAUUUUUCAUAGAAAAUAGAGAUAAACAAUAAGAGAGAAAAAGAUGAAAAUAAAUAUAAUCAAUAUAAAAAAUAAAUUUUAAUCAUACUUGUUCGUAGAAGGAAAAAGGAAAGAAAGAUUGAAAAAAAUUAUUAUUAUUAUUAUUUUCCUAUGAAAGUUUUCCAAAAUCUUGUGAUUAAUGAGAGAUAAAUUUUAAGAUUUUAUAUGAGUACUUUCUGCUUAAAAGUUAGUACUCCAGUCAUUAAAAUUUGAAUGCCCCGAAACUUAUAAAGACUUCUAAAAAGUUUUAAUUGAAUACGUCAUAACUUUUAGAGACUUUUUAGAAGUAUAUAAAAAUUUCAAUUAAAUAUAUCGUGACUUUUAGAGAUUUCCUAAAAGUCACUAAAAUACACCUUGACUUUUAGAGAGUUUCAAAAAAUCUCAAUUGAAUACCCUUAAAUUUUUUAAAUCCCAAGAAGUCAUUAAAAUUCUCAAUUGAUUACAUCCCCUUAUUCAUUUUUGAGAAAAAUUGGUUCGUUUGAUUGUCUAUAUUUUCCAUACAAAAAUGUCAUUUUUCACCCAAAUACCUAAUUUUGUGCUGUUUGAUUAAUAUUUUUUUCAUAAAAAAUAUUUUUCUAGUUUUGAUCACGUGAUCCUUUUUUUCUUUGAAAACAAGGAAAAUAUUUGCUUGCAUGGGUGAGAAACUACUAGCUCAUGGGUGAAUAUUGAUUAAAAUCAUAUUGGUUAUUGAGUGAUUGACAAAAAACAUAAUGAAUUAUGAGACAUAGCUGGAGUAGCUUUUCUUAGAAGCCAUAAUUCAUUUUCAUUUCGUACAAUUUUUUCCCGUCUACCAGAAAAGAAAUAUAGAAAAUAUGACACUAACGUACUAUUAUAGAACCAGUUGUGUUCACUUGUAGCAUAGUAAUUAGUCGUAUAAUGUUAAGAAAGAUUGUUUAGGCCUGUCAUGAGGCUGAUUUUUUUCUUUUAUAUCUUCAAUAUUGUACAAUCCAGCUCCUUGAACACGUCACAUAUGUUCUACAUGGCCACAAAAAUUACUAGGCAGAAAAAGCAAUUCUCAAUCUCAAACCACCACUAAUUUCCCGGUAUAUCAACAGAAAACGAAAAUUGUACACACCUCUCAUUCCUUUAUUGGCAAGAUAGCCAGCAUCAAGUAGAACCUGAAAUGCACAAAACCAAGGGCGGAUCUGGGGGAUCCUAAAGGGUCAAUUGAUCCCCCAGUUUUUGAAAAAAAUAAAAAUAAAAAUUCUAAAAUUCUGCCUUUUUUUUAGAAUGUCAAAGUUUAAAACCUCCACUAUAAAUAUAUAAUGCAAUCGAUAAUUUCAAACUUUGCUUUGUGCCUUUGUUUCUCUCUCCCAGUUUCUCGAUCGCGGACUGUCAGUACCAUUUACAGUUUACUCACCGUAUAAAAGUUUGAUUGUGACCCCUUAACCCAAAGUGUCUGGAUCCGUCCCUGCACAAACUACUACCCUUCUGCCUAAAAAACUAUGCCAUGAAGGGGGUGAACUAUUUACAAUGUUGGUUGUGCUGGAAUAUAUCUUUAAAGAGUAAAGGAAAAAAACGCAAAAUAUAUUGCCCAACAAAUGAAAUCAAGACCGGCCAAAAACAAUGGAGUUUCAAGAAAAUCAAAAAAUGUGUGAAGCACCAACCGCAAGUCAAAGAAGCUACAGUAUGAAAAAGGAAACUCAAGUCGGUUCAAUUGUUUGCGAACAAACAUUUGUAAGCAAACCCACAUGUCUAUCGAGUUUAUACAUACUGAUGGCAAGUGCGACAACAUUUCAAGAACUCACCAACUACAAUUCCAACCUAAGCAGAAUUAUAAAUUAGGGCUGAAUAAAAUGUCAACUCACCAUAUCAAGGCCUAAAGCUUUGCAUGUUAAGCCGUGAUAGCAUGUUGAACUCUAAUGACUAGUCGAGACACGCCAUUAUUUUUGCCUAGACACCAUUCAUACAUGUUUUUCCCACUUGAUUUGCUCCUUAACAUCAACAGGGAACUCUAAUUAUGCUAAUCUUUUGUUACUCAGUUACCCAAAUAUUUAGAUUAGUACUCAGAUGAUGCCGGUCUAAUGAAUCGCUUUUUAAGUUCUUUGCAUGCAUUAUUGCAUUUCUAUUCUAAAAUCUACUGACCUUGUUAUCAUAGUUACAAAUAAAUAAAUUCAAGACUCCUAUGUGACUCCUGUACCUGAGGUUUUAUCCUUCGACGUUGUAGGUCACUUGUUAUUGCAGCCACUCCUGCAUGCUUAAAGUGAAAUUGUAACCAAGUGUGGAGCCUUCUUUCAAAAUUUUAAAAACAAUUACAUAUAACCUGAUUUUACCAUUGAAAGAUUUUAUAGUGCUUUCGAGCAUGUUUGGCUGUGCUAUAAAGUAAGUCAAAUUUAUGUUUGAGUUACUUAUUUAGCAACACUUAACUACCGUUGCCUUUUAUGUGUUGCAAAAAACCAUUUUUGGUGUAGUAACGACGUGGAUAUUGAAAUAGGUAUGUAAUAGGAACAGUGGAUAUGGUGCAUGAUUUGAUUAGCUCGUACUUGUUGAUGUAGAACUUGAUAUUCUUUGUGCACAACACUCAUGUUUUACACUUUAAGUUAGUGAUUGGAUUCUUGAACAGAGUAGGAUAAACCAAAAAAACAUUUAUUGUAUUAACCCAUAAUCCAUUUUUAGAGUAGUUUGGGGAUAGCUAUGAAAUUACAGGAGGACAUUGAGAUAAGUAGGGAUUCCGUGCAUGAAAUUAUACUGUGUGGAUUGCCUAAAGCCAAUGGGAUGAAGGUUAGGUGAAAGUCUUAAGUUGAGGGUUGGUUUUGGAGACUGAAUGUCUAGAAAAAGAGCAUAAUAUUAAUCUGUGUAAGAAUAAUACAUCUCCCAAAGCCUCUGUGUAAGGGUAUUUUCAAACCUAGUGCUCUAAAGUCAACUGGCUUGGGAGUCAUCGACCUAAAGCUCGCCACAGUGAUCAUAUAGAAAGCAAGAAAGAGAUAAAUUAAUAAAAAAGUCAUCUUAUCGAGCUUUUAUAACUCAAGUGAAUAAGCUUGGAAGGGUAUUUUGAAACCUGAUGCCCUAAAACCAAUUGAUUUGGGAGCCAUCGACCUAAAGCUCAUUACAAUGGUUAUAUAGAAAACAAAUGAAAAGAUGACAAUAAAAAAAACUUGAAAAUAAGUAAGCAAAGACACAAUGACAUUAAGUAAGUCCUUAGACAUUCGGUUGAUAGAAUUACACCUUUGAUAGGAGGUAAGUAGCCUAAUUUAGUCUUAAAAGUUGAAGUGAUCAAAAUAAGAGAGCCUCUACUUGUUGAAAUGUGAACUUGUAAUAGUGAAAUCCAUCCAAACUAAGAGAGGAUAAAGAUUAAAGUUCACUAAACUCUUAACUUUAGAAUACAUUUCGGGAUAAUUGGGUGAAAAGAAUAAGUAUCGGGGGUGUGUAUCUCUCGAGCGAAGAAAUGAUAUAUUUGACCACUAUUGGUCGGGAGUAAACCAAUCAUGAGGUUGACAUGAGUUCAUACACAUACGUCGAGUUAUGCAUUUACAGGUGAAUGUUGCUUUUAUUUCUGCACCGUUGAAACUACUUCUUGUGUUGAUUACUGAAUUCUAAUCCUGAGACACGGCAUGUUGUCAUGUCAUGUUUUGUGUGGAGUUAAGUCACAAUUUUAUUUGAGGACAAACAAUAGUUCAAGUUUCGGGGUUUGAUAAGUGCGUUUUUACAUAAUUAUUAUUCCCACAAAAUACGAAUUGUUGACAAAAAGUAUUUGAAUAUGGCGGAAUUCAAGAGAAAAUAAACGAAAAAUAACCAAAAUGGAGGACAACCAAAGUUCAAGGACCAAAGUGUAAAUAGCCAAAAGAUGAACCAAAAGCAUAAAUGGAGAUGUUAAAGGAUCAAGGACAAUUUGUUGAAUGCUUGAAGUGUUGGGAAAAUAAAAAAAUGAGAAAAGAGGUCAAGAUGCAAGAAAUUGGAACUUGGGAAACAAAACAUCACUUUUGAAAGAAAGAGCACCACCAUGCGGUCGCAUGGUCAUAGGCAGAAAAUUUAGAGGCUGAGUAAGAAAGAACCAUGCUGUCGCAUAGUUUACAACCAUGUGGUCACAUGGUACAAACUUGACGCGAGAAUUUUAGUUUCCUUCUUCGGCUGAAAUUCUUAUGGAAAUAAGUCAUGGGACCUGUUAUAAAAACCUAGAGCCAUCAAAUCAAAGAGAAACACAUUGAGAGACUUUUGAACACACUCUGAAGGAUAUUUUGAGCCACAAAUACGAGGAGAAACACGAAAAUCGACGGGAUUACAAGAAGAACAUUAAAUCAAUGAUAUCGUUUCUACAAAUUUCUUUGUGUUUUAUUACUUUUCCCAUGUUAGGUUAGAUAAUUUUGUACUGGGAGAACGAUGAACCAUGUAAUGUAAUCUUUUGAUUUCUAGUUUUACAUUAUUGACAAUAAAACAUGUUAUUUGAAUUUGAAUGGUUUAUUCGCAAUUAUUUUUCCCCAUAAUUAUGUGCACGUGGUUGUGUGAAUUCGGUGACGUAUUUCAUGCAUCCGAGAAAAGGAAAAUAGACUCGACAAGGUAAAAAUCAUCAUCGGGUUCAAUAUACCGCUAUGCCCUACGUGAAUCUCUAAGUGUUCACAAAAGUUCGUGCAUUCUUGUAUAUUCACAUCCGUUAUAAAGAUAUAGUCGUGUCGUAUAUGAGAGUAGGUUUAACAUUACUCAAGAGAGAUUGUUGGAUAAAAUAUGAACAUUGAUUCUUCAAACCUCAAACGUGUGGUCAAUUUUUCGAACUAGGAUUAAAAGAGAUAGUUGCAUGGGGAUUCGUGGUCCUAGUGCUUCUCUCAUUCAUUAAUUUCAUAAAACUUGCAUUCAAAUAUCAUUUUGCAUUUAAUUUCAUUAAAUUCAUUUACAAUUGCAUACAUAGCCUAGUGUAGGUAUAAUAACUUGCAACUAUCAAGCUUGACAACUUAGUUUUGGUAAAGGCAAUAUAGUAUAAUGAGACUAACUCCUUUGUGGAACGAUAUUCGAAACUCUAAAUUUCACUUCAUUACUUGCGACGAACUGUACGCUUAUGGUGUUAAAAUCAAAAGAUAAUUUUAGUAAACACUUUUACAUUUUGUAUUUGAGUUGUUGAUUUUAGAGAACGAGUUUAAUAAAGAAUGUAAGAUACAACCACUCAGUUUAAGCUUGGGCAGAUCAACUUUUGUUUUACUUCUUUGACUUUUAUUAUAUAGUUUUGUCACGGAAUGUCAAAUGGUGAGUUUGUUAGGUUUUUAUUGUAUUGGGAAUUAUUUAGACAAAAUGACUAAUAAAGAGUUGUAAAAGUCAAAAAGUCAAUUGAAUAUUGUAUAGAUGAACUAGGUAUCUUAGGGUUCGAGUUUGGAAUAAGAAGGAAAGAGUCGCUGGAUUUACGCUAGUCUAUCGCCCAUUUGAUGCUCGAGCAAAAAAAAUGAAAACACUAUCGGCCGUUUGUCACUCAGUUCUCGCUUGAGCGACACACCUGUCGCUAGAGCAACGAUGUUACGUGUGAAACCCUAGUUCGAGCUUUUUAAGAGUUUAUAUUCGACCCAUGAUACCUAAAUGCCUUCUACUAUAUAUACCCAAGCGUUUUUGGUAUGGUUGUUCAUUAUAUUACUUCUCCAUAACAUCAUUCCAAGAUUCAAGAACACAUUUAAACUUUAGAUUAAUCCUUUGAUUCUUGAGUUCAUUCAAUCACAAAUUUGGGGAAAAAAUAUCAAAUUCACAUAAUCCAAAAAAACUUACUUUCUAUACGUAUGCAGAUAGGGAUGACAAUUCGAACUGUCAAAAUCGAAAACCUUGCUUAACUGAACCAAAUAGGGCGAAAAAAUCGAAUCGAUGGCGCAAUGUGAUGAAUAUGGUAUUUGAUUUUAAUGCCCUGGUUCGGGGCCGGACGGGUAUGAUAUUUACACUCGUCGUCCGCCCCGAAUUGAUUACUCGUUAAAAAAUAAUUGGGUAAUUGGGCUUUUCAUUACUCUUUCUAUGAUUCUCUUUAACCCAAAAUUUUGACUCAUUACCGACCCGCCAAGUCCAGUUAACCUAACUCAGUAACCCUACACCUUACUACACAAAUAUUAAACAUAUAUGGAAAUUGUUUGUUAAAUUCGAAUUUUGCAUUUGGGAAUUGAGAUAUUGUUUGCAUUUUUUUUUAGUAUAUUGUUUGCUAAAUGUGAUUAGUAUUGUAUUUUUGUUUUCAUUGAUUUUUUUUUUCAUAAGUUAUUUUUUUUUUCCAAUUUGAUAACUAGAACUAUAAAAAAAUAAUUUUUUUCGUAAUUAUUAACCGCCCGAACCGAGUCGAACCGAAUCAACUUACGUGGUUAAGGUAUGACCAAAAAAAUGGUGGUUCGGUGAUGGUUUUGGCCAAACCGAAUCGUUGCCAACCCCACAUACAGGAAGGUACUUUCUCAAGAACUUUCAGAGGUUGCUGAAAAUUGAUGGAUAUUAGACUAGAAGGACAUGAAGAGUACAAGAACAAAGUGUUCUUGUCGAUCCACAGGAGAGAGACAAUUUUAGAAGAUCGGGAAUAGGUGUGAGUGAAGCACGUUCCACCGAGUCUUGAAAAUUGCAGGAAUUAAAUCAGCGAGUCUAAUAGGUUUUCUAGGUUGGAUUAUACUGUAAGUUUACAUUGUCUAUAGUGGAUGUUACUGGCUUAAUCCCGGAGUUUUCACCUAAUUGGGUUUUCUCCGUCAACUUAUUUUGUGUUGUUUAUUGCUUUCAUAUUAUUGGUUAUAGCAUUCAAACCAUUAGAUAAUUUGGAGAUGUCAAUGAGUUGAGUCGAGCCAGGUCGAGAGUCAAAACUCGAGGCUCGUGAUCCGCUCGAGAAAAAUUAAGACAGGUUUUUUUUGGCCCGAGCCUAGCUGAGUAAAAGCUCGACCAAAAUUCGAGGCUCGACCCUUACCAAGCCGGCUUGAUUUAUUUAUUUUUAGGUUUUUUACCUUUUUUUUAAAGGUAGGUCUACUCCCUCUUAUUUAUUUAUUUAUUGAGCUGACCCAUUGAGCUACGAAUUGGCUUGGGCUCAGCCCGUUGUCCCAAAAUGGGGAACCGAGCAUCGAGCUGGGCCAAUCGAGCUUUUUUAGAGUCAAGUCAUGGGGUUAAAAAGUGACUUGUUGCUUUUAAUUGUUAAUUUUAAUUCCGCGUUAUUCACCGAUUCACUCCCCUCCCCUUCUAGGCGACUUUAGGGUCGAACUAUGAACUUUCACUAACGACUUUGUGGAGUUUGAUUCUUAACAUUACCAUCAUCAUAUAGUAAUUUCAUGUUUAUUGCUCAAACUAAGUGAGCCAAUAUCAUUAACUGUAGCUAUUCAUUUGAGUAUAGAUCAAGUAUUAAACAUAUUUCAUAACAACAAUACAUCAAAUUGAAAACAUCGUAGCAUAAAUGUAGUGCCUAAAAACCAUGUAAUACAACAUAAAAUGAUAUACCAUUGCUUAUUUUCGAACGACAUAAUAUUUUAUUAUAAUCGCAACUUUUCUUUGAACUAUUAUUAUUAUAUAGAAAUUCCAACUCACAAAAAUUCACAAUGCCACUAUAAAAUUAUACAUCAAAUGGGGUGGUAUCUUUGUAUAACUUUAUAUUAUUUGCUAAUAAAAACGUUAAAAACUUUACAUUAUCUGUUUAGUGCUGAGUUUCGGUCAAAUAAUGGAUUUUUUUGAAGAAAUCUGUCCAAAUGUUCUUUUACUAAAUAGUUUUAAAAGGUUUGGGAGGUUUGGAUGCUAUCUACAGUACUAUUUUGAAAGGUUUGCAAAUUCACCUGUUUUUCGUCUUACAUAAUGCUUUUGUUGAUAAAAGUAGACAUAAUAUGAAAAUAGUAAAUUAGGUUACCGAAUUAUAUUAACCCAUUGUUUUUUUAAAAGUUUUUUUUAUGUAUUCUAAGCAUUUUCGAAAUUAUUAUGAGUAUUCUAACAUAUUCAGAAGUUGUAGAACAAUCCAUCGAAAUGAUUAAUUGGAUUUAUUAAUUUCAUUUUAGUAUCGCUAAAGUAGCUAUACUCUAUUUCCUUUAUACACAAUAUGUAAGUGCACAUUUAUGAUAUAUCUAUAUGUAUAUUUUUACGUUGGGAUUUCUGUACUCUUUUCAAUUGACUAAAACUAUUGAUAGCUUUUUUACAAAAAAGUAAUCAAGAAACUUUGGCGAAGUGAUUAUCAUUUAUUUGGCUUUUAAUUCAUAUAUGAUAGGCCUCCAAACCUAUUUAUGAGAUUUUAUUUAAAUGGUUGGUAGUCGAUCUAUAUUUCAUGUUUCUAAUAAAUUUUAUCCUACUGAUUUUGCAGAGUUUAAUUCUUAACAUUACCAUUUAAUAUUUAUCAAUCAUCAACAAGUAUUCAAUAAGUUUAUGUUAAUAUCAAUAUUAUCAUCAUUAUAUAGUAAUUUCACAUUUAUUGCUCAAAUUAUGUGAACCAAUAUCAUUAAGUGUAGCUAUUCAUUUGAGCGUAGGUCAAAUAUCCAAACAUAUUUCAUAUCGACAUACCAUCAAAAUGAAACUGUCAUAGCAUAAAUAUAGUGCUUGAAAACCAUGUAAUCGAUAUAUCAUUGCUUAUUUUCGAACACCAUAUUAAUUUGUUAUAAUCACAACUUUUAUUAUAUAGAAAUUCCAACACACGAAAAUUCACAAUGUUACUACAAAUUUUUUUUUUUUAACGUGUAUACAUAAAAUGGAGUGUAUCUUUGUAUAAAUUCAUAUUAUUUGCUAAUAGAAACGUCAAAAAAUUAUAAAUUUGCUAAUAGGAAGAAAAAAAAUCGUUUUGCAUUUUCAGUUAUAAAUUUUUUCUUAUUUUCAGAAAACAAGUGACCAAAUGCGUUUUGGACAUUUUCGAAAAUUAAAAACAGAAAACGGCUGGAAAACGGUAAAGGAAACGUCCUCUAAGUACUUCUAAAUGGGAAUGUAGUCUUCGUCUGUAAAUUCUAGAAGGAAAAAGAAAAGAAAAGUCGUUCAGCAUCGUCAAUACACGACAAGAAGUCAAACUAAGCUGCUCAAUUAUUUUUGGGAUGAUUUGGCCAAUUUCAUUCGUACGAAUAUUUUCAUUCAUUUAUGGCGUCAACUUGUCAAUAGCGUGUACUUAAGACUUUUAGCCUGUUUGAUUUUCAUUACAUUACAUUACAUUCUAUUUUUCUCUCUCCUAUUUUCAACCACACAAUCUUCCAUAAAAUAAUAUUACACGUAAAUCGAAAAUUUUUCUUUCUUUUUCAACCACUCAUUUUUCAAAAAACACUAUUCCAUACAUUAAAUUUUUUCCGUAAUGGGGCCAAACAGGGGCUUAUUUUUAAUAAUAUUAUUAAUCUAAUAUAAUGAUACACUAAUAUUCAUCUAAGUGGACAGUGAGAAUCUACUUAGACUUAUUCAAUGAAUUAAAAUUUCAUUUUUCCUUUAUUGGACCAGUCUCGAUUGAUCUCAACCGUCACUUACAUUCCAAAACAAAUUUAAAAAUAAUUUAUAACUAUGAAUCAUAAGAUUAAUAGUAGUAAGUCUCGAGAAAUGUUUGAAAUUUAAUAAAUAGUAAUUAUGAAUGUGUAAUUAAAAUAAGUGUUUGAUUUUGACUAAAUUUAUAAAUGGUACUGCAUACUAAGGCUUACAUACUACAAUAUUAGAAUAUGUUUAACAAAGCCGUGAAUAAAAAUAAAGUCGAUCAAUUUAUUCAUUUUUAAUUAAUCUCAAAAUUUAGUGAAAUAGAGGAUAAAUAUCUUUUGCAAGCUUGAGUGGUCUUCCCUCCAGGAGUCGGUGAGUAAAUAUUACGCAAACUUCUCGGUAGACUUGAGAAGACCAUAACAGAUUCAGUAUAUAUAUAUAUAUAUAUCAUUAAUUUGCUUCCAUUAAUGGAGCCACUCAUAAACAUGCAGAAGAAAUUUCUGAUGUGGGCAACCUAUAUUUGUUUCUUUUGGAUUAUAUCAGCUACAGCCGACACAAAUACUUCAUCCGCCUCAAACGCCACCAUAAUAUCCACCAUUACCAAAGGAGACAACAUCGCCAAGCCAAACUGCCCACGCCGAUGCGGAAAUUUGACAGUCCCAUAUCCAUUCGGCAUCGGCAUAGGAAGAGGCUGUGCCUUCGGUGAGUGGUUUGAGGUCAACUGCAGCACCGCCUACAAUCCUCCCCGGGCGUUCAUUGCACAGGGUAAUAUCCAAAUUUACGAUAUUUCUGAUAGUCAAAUGCGUAUUUCAAAUGUAGUGGCGAGUAAGUGCUAUGAUGAAUCCGGUGAUGUCGUGGACGAAUACACUGCAUGGACGAAUAUUACAGGGACCCCGUUCAGUUUCUCGGAAUCCAACAAAUUCACCAUGAUUGGGUGCGAUGACUACGCUUCCAUGACGGGAGGCCGCGGCAGCAAAAAUUUCACUACUGGAUGUCGUUCUCAGUGUUACAGCGCCGAAACUGUAGUAGACGGAUAUUGUUCCGGCAUUGGUUGCUGCCAAACACCGGUGCCAAAGAGUUUGAAGGACUACAAUAGCAGAUUGAGGAGUUUUAAUAAUCACACAGGCAUCGCAUCAUUCAAUCCCUGCGGCUAUGCAUUUCUCGGUGAGCAGGAGAGAUUCACGUUCCGUGGUGUGGAAGAUUUUUUGGACACUAAUUUCAAGGAGAGGAUCCGGGAAACUGUCCCCAUUGUUCUAGAUUGGGCACUCGGUAAUAUAACUUGUGACAAAGCUCGAUUUUCCUUGGACUAUGCUUGUAAAGAGAAUAGUUCCUGUGUUGAUACAAACAAUGGUCUUGGAGGUUAUCGUUGCAGCUGUAACAAAGGCUUCCGAGGAAAUCCUUAUCUCAGUCCCGGCUGCAAAGGUUUGUUUUCAAUUACCAUAGACUCAUGUUAAAUUACGUCACUAAAGUUAAAGUUUCUGGAACAAAAAAUUUAUAUCAACUGUAGAGGAAAUGACUUUUAUCUUGUGAUUGACAUUUCUUUUGUUACUUUUCCCAUUAUUUGGUAGACAUUGAUGAGUGCGCAGAAAACAGCAACUGUGAAAAGAUAUGCAUUAAUACACCUGGAGGUUUUAACUGUUCUUGUCCAAACGGCUACUAUGGGGAUGGCAAAAAAGAUGGACGUGGUUGCAUCGCUCAGAACUCCAAAUUUCCUGUAAUCAAGUAUUCCUUAGGUAAUUCUUAUGAUUUCGCGAAAUUGUUCAGCACGCCUAAACAGAAAUACAGAUUCAAAUAUUCUCUUAUUUAAUUUAUAAUUCCAAUCUUAACUUUCUUACAAAUUCAAUGUUCAGGUAUCGUAUUUGGGUUCUUGACAUUAGUUAUUGCAAUAACUUGGCUAUAUAUUAUCAUCAACAAAAGGAAACUCAUAAAACUGAGGGAGAAAUUCUUUCAGCAAAAUGGUGGUUUGUUGUUUGAACAACAGAUCUCUUCAAUUGAAGGCAACAUGGCGUCAAGGAGGAAAAUAUUUACAGCAGAGGAGCUUGAAAAAGCUACGAACAACUACGCAGAUGAUCAAAUUCUAGGAGGAGGUGGUUAUGGUAUUGUCUACAAAGGAAUUCUACCUGAUAAACGCAUAGUGGCCAUUAAAAAGUCCCGAGUAACAGAUCAGAGCCAGAUUGAGCAAUUUGUAAAUGAAUUGGUUAUUCUUACACAAGUUAACCAUCGGAAUGUGGUAAAGUUAUUGGGAUGUUGUUUGGAAUCAGAAGUUCCUUUGUUAGUUUAUGAGUACAUUUCGAAUGGAACUCUUUUCCAGCACAUUAGUAAUUGUGCAAUGACUUGGUUAUCAUUGGAGAAUCGUCUGAGAAUAGCCUCAGAAGCUGCUGGUGCACUUGCGUAUCUUCAUUCAGCAGCCUCUAUGCCUGUAAUUCACAGAGAUGUCAAGUCUGCCAACAUAUUAUUAGACGAACAUUACACUGCAAAAAUUUCAGAUUUUGGAGCGUCGAGAUUAAUCACCUUGGAUCAAACUGAAGUGACAACGUUAAUCCAAGGGACCCUUGGAUAUCUUGAUCCGGAGUACUUCCACACGAGUCAACUGACAGAAAAAAGCGAUGUUUACAGCUUUGGGGUGGUUCUUGCAGAACUUUUGACAGGGAAAAAACCCCUUGAUAUGCAGAGACGCCAAGAAGAAAAAAAUCUUGCAACAUAUUUCAUCAAGUCCAUGAAAGAAAAUCGUUUGUUUUCUAUUCUUGAGCCUCGAGUUUUGAGGGAAGGAACUUUAGAGCAACUCCAAUCCAUUGCUGAACUUGUCAAGAGAUGUUUGUCCUUGGAUGGUGAAGAUAGACCUACAAUGAAAGAAGUGGCAAUGGAACUUGAAGGUUUAAGGAAAUUCAAUAAACAUCCAUGGGCUAAUCAGUCUGUGCACGAAGAAAAUGUUGGGUUAAUAAAUAAUCAAAGUGAAGCAUCAGAUCUUUAUACUUCUCCAAUCCCCUCAAAUGACUUGUAUUCGAUUCAAAUGGGGCCUUACAAAAGCACUGGGGAAUUCUCUGGACAACACAUCUCCGACAGUUCUCGUUUGAUGUUUCCUGUAAACAGCCCUCGGUGAUAGUUCAUAGUAGACGUUCAAGUUCAGCGAUGGCAUAGACCAAAGUCAAAUCAUGUGGCGUUCCUCUUUAAUACUAUACAAUCCAUCUUUCAAGUCAAGCUAUCGCUUCUUUAUUUGUAUAUGUUUCUUCUUCAUCUACAAUUUGGAUUUCUUCUUAUGAAAUCUCCUUAUUGUCCAGUGAUUAGUCUUCUUCUUCUUCUUUUUUUUUUUUUUUUUGACGUUUUACGAAUUUUUUUGCCUAAUGAAUAAUAUCUAAUGUACUAUUGAUUCAAUUAGAUCCGUUCAAAAUUGAAAGAGGUGGAGAUCAUUAUACCAUUCAAAAACGUGAGAACAAACCAAUAUUCGUAAUUCAUGCACCCAAACAUUAUAGAAACGAAGAGAGAAAUGUGAGACUCACCUUCUUUACUACAUCGGUCUAUCUUCCUCUCUACCUAUAUAUUCCUCACAUCCCACCCACCUCCACUCACUACCACUACCUCAACCCACGAAGACAUUACCUAUUAUUCUCCCACCUCCAUCCCUUUUAUUUAAGAGAGAAUCUUAGAGAUAUCUCCUGAAUUUUAUGGUAAUAUUAUCCAGACGCCUCUCACAUUUAAAAAAUCAUAUUAUCUUCUUUGUUUUAGUUUUGUGCAUCACAUAAUUUUUUGAGCUGUAUAUCAUUUAAAAUGAUGUUGAUAUACCUAAAAAAUUAAAUUUCUAGAAUUUUUUGCAAUAUAUUUGUUCCCUUUAAAUUAAUACGCCAGAAUUCUAGAUUGCAUGCUAGUGAAAAUUUAAACCUAAUGAAGAAUUUGGUGAUAAAUAAAACAAGAAGUUAAAUAUAAACAUGUAUUUUUUUAUUAUUCAAGUAAGCGGAAAAAUAGUAAGAGUUAAUUCAUUGAAAUGAUAUACACCUUCACAAUUUGUUGUUAAAUGAUAUAUAAUAAACUGUUAUAUUAAUCAUUAUGAUUUGGCAGUGUAAUAUCGUUUUAUCCCUUUUUGAUCAUUUGAUAUUUAAUUAUAUUAAUCGAUAUUUAUUAUUAUUUUUAAAUUAAGUACUAUAUAUAAUAUUACUUAUGAAUAACUAUGUCAAACAUGCUCUAUAAUUUACUUUGAGCAAUUUUAACUACAACUGAUUGUAACAGAUGGGCCUAACAGUGGCUUCUUAUAACCCAUCUCACUCUAAAGAUCCGAGAGCGUCAGAUUGGAAGCCCUACAUCCUAAAUAAAAUGGAAGUCGCCCAAUUUUAGGGGAAUGUAUUCAAUUGAGACUUUAAGAUUUUGAUGGACUUUUUUAAAGUGACAAUUUCUGUGGAUUUCAUGAAUCUUUUAUAGAUUUGUAUGAAAUUGGUGGAAGUCUUUGAUAGAUUUCAAUUGACUUUCAUUAUAAAAGUUUUAUAGAUUUUUGUAGAAUUUUAAAGACUUUUGAAAACUUUCAUUUGAAAUAGAAUUUAUGUGGAUCUAAUAAAAUGAUAUGAAAUUCUCACAUACAUUACGAGGUGUGUUGGUUCCCACAAUUCUCUUUUCCUUCCCAUUCUUCUUCCCAAAUAAUAAAAAAAAUUAAAAGAAUAAAAAUUUAAAACAUUGAUUAAGCCCCCCGUUCAAUCCCCAUUCUUAUUCUCUCUCUUAUUUUCAACCACACAAUCUUCUAUAAAAUAAUAUUAGACGCUAAUAAAAAAAAUUUCAUUCUUUUUCAACCACACAUUAUUCAAAAAAAUACUAUUCCAAUCAUUAGAAUUUGGCAGGAACGGGGGCCAAAUGGGUGCUAAAUAAAUAAUGAUCAAAAUUAUAAAUAUAUAUGAUAAACAAUAAAUUUAAUAUUCAAUAUUAUUAAUAUAAUAUACUUUUAAAAAUAAAUAAAAAUAAAUAUAUUUAAAUUUAACUAUAAAUUCUUCAUAUAGAAUUUUAUAUUUCAAUAAAAAAUAGAUAUUUUUCACAAAAAAAAAAGAAUGAAAAACGAAAAAAGUGUUACAAGAAUCCAAUAAUUUUUCAUAGAAAAUAGAGAUAAACAAUAAGAGAGAAAAAGAUGAAAAUAAAUAUAAUCAAUAUAAAAAAUAAAUUUUAAUCAUACUUGUUCGUAGAAGGAAAAAGGAAAGAAAGAUUGAAAAAAAUUAUUAUUAUUAUUAUUUUCCUGUGAAAGUUUUCCAAAAUCUUGUGAUUAAUGAGAGAUAAAUUUUAAGAUUUUAUAUGAGUACUUUCUACUUAAAAGUUAGUACUCCAGUCAUUAAAAUUUGAAUGCCCUGAAACUUAUAAAGACUUCUAAAAAAUUUUAAUUGAAUACGUCAUAACUUUUAGAGACUUUUUAGAAGUAUAUAAAAGUUUCAAUUAAAUAUAUCGUGACUUUUAGAGAUUUCCUAAAAGUCACUAAAAUACACCUUGACUUUUAGAGAGUUUCAAAAAGUCUCAAUUGAAUACCCUUAAAUUUUUUAAAUCCCAAAAAAUCAUUAAAAUUCUCAAUUGAUUACAUCCCCUUAUUCAUUUUUGAGAAAAAUUGGUUCGUUUGAUUGUCUAUAUUUUCCAUACAAAAAUGUCAUUUUUCACCUAAAUCCCUAAUUUUGUGCUGUUUGAUUAAUAUUUUUUUCAUAAAAAAUAUUUUUCUAGUUUUGAUCACGUGAUCCUUUUUUUCUUUGAAAACAAGGAAAAUAUUUGCUUGCAUGGGUGAGAAACUACUAGCUCAUGGGUGAAUAUUGAUUAAAAUCAUAUUGGUUAUUGAGCGAUUGACAAAAAACAUAAUGAAUUAUGAGACCUAGCCGGAGUAGCUUUUCUUAGAAGCCAUCAUUCAUUUUCAUUUCGUACAAUUCUUUCCCAUCUACCAGAAAAGAAAUAUAGAAAAUAUGACAUUAACGUACUAUUAUAGAACCAGUUGUGUUCACUUGUAGCAUAGUAAUUAGUCGUAUAAUGUUAAGAAAGAUUGUUUAGGCCUGUCAUGAGGCUGGUUUUUUUCUUUUAUAUCUUCAAUAUUGUACAAUCCAUCUCAUUGAACACGUCACAUAUGUUCUACAUGGCCACAAAAAUUACUAGGCAGAAAUAGCUAUUCUCAAUCUCAAACCACCACUAAUUUCCCGGUAUAUCAACAGAAAACGAAAAUUGUACACACCUCUCAUUCCUUAAUUGGCAAGAUAGCCAGCAUCAAGUAGAACCUGAAAUGCACAAAACCAAGGGCGGAUCUGGGGGAUCCUAAAGGGUCAAUUGACCCCCCAGUUUUUGAAAAAAAUAAAAAUAAAAAUUCUAAAAUUCUUCCUUCUUUUUUUUUUUUUUUUUUUUUUAAAUUUUAGAAUGUCAAAGUUUAAAAAACCUCCACUAUAAAUAUAUAAUGCAAUCGAUAAUUUCAAACUUAGCUUUGUGCCUUUGUUUCUCUCUCCCAAUUUCUCGAUCGCGGACUGUCAGUACCAUUUACAGUUUACCCACCGUAUAAAAAUUUAAUUGUGACCCCUUAACCCAAAGUGUCUGGAUCCGUCCCUGCACAAACUACUACCCUUCUGCCUAAAAAACUAUGCCAUGAAGGGGGUGAACUAUUUACAAUGUUGGUUGUGCUGGAAUAUAUCUUUAAAGAGUAAAGGAAAAAAACGCAAAAUAUAUUGCCCAACAAAUGAAAUCAAGACCGGCCAAAAACAAUGGAGUUUCAAGAAAAUCAAAAAAUGUGUGAAGCACCAACCGCAAGUCAAAGAAGCUACAGUAUGAAAAAGGAAACUCAAGUCGGUUCAAUUGUUUGCGAACAAACAUUUGUAAGCAAACCCACAUGUCUAUCGAGUUUAUACAUACCAAUGGCAAGUGCAACAACAUUUCAAGAACUCACCAACUACAAUUCCAACCUAAGCAGAAUUAUAAAUUAGGGCUGAAUAAAAUGUCAACUCACCAUAUCAAGGCCUAAAGCUUUGCAUGUUAAGCCGUGAUAGCAUGUUGAACUCUAAUGACUAGUCGAGACACGCCAUUAUUUUUGCCUAGACACCAUUCAUACAUGUUUUUCCCACUUGAUUUGCUCCUUAACAUCAACAGGGAACUCUAAUUAUGCUAAUCUUUUGUUACUCAGUUACCCAAAUAUUUAGAUUAGUACUCAGAUGAUGCCGGUCUAAUGAAUCGCUUUUUAAGUUCUUUGCAUGCAUUAUUGCAUUUCUAUUCUAAAAUCUACUGACCUUGUUAUCAUAGUUACAAAUAAAUAAAUUCAAGACUCCUAUGUGACUCCUGUACCUGAGGUUUUAUCCUUCGACGUUGUAGGUCACUUGUUAUUGCAGCCACUCCUGCAUGCUUAAAGUGAAAUUGUAACCAAGUGUGGAGCCUUCUUUCAAAAUUUUAAAAACAAUUACAUAUAACCUGAUUUUACCAUUGAAAGAUUUUAUAGUGCUUUCGAGCAUGUUUGGCUGUGCUAUAAAGUAAGUCAAAUUUAUGUUUGAGUUACUUAUUUAGCAACACUUAACUACCGUUGCCUUUUAUGUGUUGCAAAAAACCAUUUUUGGUGUAGUAACGACGUGGAUAUUGAAAUAGGUAUGUAAUAGGAACAGUGGAUAUGGUGCAUGAUUUGAUUAGCUCGUACUUGUUGAUGUAGAACUUGAUAUUCUUUGUGCACAACACUCAUGUUUUACACUUUAAGUUAGUGAUUGGAUUCUUGAAAAGAGUAGGAUAAACCAAAAAAACAUUUAUUGUAUUAACCCAUAAUCCAUUUUUAGAGUAGUUUGGAGAUAGCUAUGAAAUUACAGGAGAACAUUGAGAUAAGUAGGGAUUCCGUGCAUGAAAUUAUACUGUGUGGAUUGCCUAAAGCCAAUGGGAUGAAGGUUAGGUGAAAGUCUUAAGUUGAGGGUUGGUUUUGAAGACUGAAUGUCUAGAAAAAGAGCAUAAUAUUAAUAUGUGUAAGAAUAAUACAUCUCCCAAAGCCUCUGUGUAAGGGUAUUUUCAAACCUAGUGCUCUAAAGUCAACUGGCUUGGGAGUCAUCGACCUAAAGCUCGCCACAGUGAUCAUAUAGAAAGCAAGAAAGAGAUAAAUUAAUAAAAAAGUCAUCUUAUCGAGCUUUUAUAACUCAAGUGAAUAAGCUUGGAAGGGUAUUUUGAAACCUGAUGCCCUAAAACCAAUUGAUUUGGGAGCCAUCGACCUAAAGCUCAUUACAAUGGUUAUAUAGAAAACAAAUGAAAAGAUGACAAUAAAAAAAACUUGAAAAUAAGUAAGCAAAGACACAAUGACAUUAAGUAAGUCCUUAGACAUUCGGUUGAUAGAAUUACACCUUUGACAGGAGGUAAGUAGUCUAAUUUAGUCUUAAAAGUUGAAGUGAUCAAAAUAAGAGAGCCUCUACUUGUUGAAAUGUGAACUUGUAAUAGUGAAAUCCAUCCAAACUAAGAGAGGAUAAAGAUUAAAGUUCACUAAACUCUUAACUUUAGAAUACAUUUCGGGAUAAUUGGGUGAAAAGAAUAAGUAUCGGGGGUGUGUAUCUCUCGAGCGAAGAAAUGAUAUAUUUGACCACUAUUGGUCGGGAGUAAACCAAUCAUGAGGUUGACAUGAGUUCAUACACAUACGUCGAGUUAAGCAUUUACAGGUGAAGGUUGAUUUUAUUUCUGCACUGUUGAAACUACUUCUUGUGUUGAUUACUGAAUUCUAAUCCUGAGACACGGCAUGUUGUCAUGUGAUGUUUUGUGUGGAGUUAAGUCACAAUUUUAUUUGAGGACAAACAAUAGUUCAAGUUUAGGGGUUUGAUAAGUGCAUUUUUACAUAAUUAUUAUUCCCACAAAAUACGAAUUGUUGACAAAAAGUGUUUGAACAUGGCGGAAUUCAAGAGAAAAUAAACGAAAAAUAACCAAAAUGGAGGACAACCAAAGUUCAAGGACCAAAGUGUAAAUAGCCAAAAGAUGAACCAAAAGCAUAAAUGGAGAUGUUAAAGGAUCAAGGACAAUUUGUUGAAUGCUUGAAGUGUUGGGAAAAUAAAAAAAUGAGAAAAGAGGUCAAGAUGCAAGAAAUUGGAACUUGGGAAACAAAACAUCACUUUUGAAAGAAAGAGCACCACCAUGCGGUCGCAUGGUCAUAGGCAGAAAAUUCAGAGGCUAAGUAAGAACGAACCAUGCUGUCGCAUAGUUUACAACCCUGUGGUUGCAUGGUACAAACUUGACGCGAGAAUUUUAGUUUCCUUCUUCGGCUGAAAUUCUUAUGGAAACAAGUUGUGGGACCUGUUAUAAAAACCUAGAGCCAUCAAAUCAAAGAGAAACACAUUGAGAGACUUUUGAACACACUCUGAAGGAUAUUUUGAGCCACAAAUACGAGGAGAAACACGAAAAUCGACGGGAUUACAAGAAGAACAUUAAAUCAAUGAUAUCGUUUCUACAAAUUUCUUUGUGUUUUAUUACUUUUCCCAUGUUAGGUUAGAUAAUUUUGUACUGGGAGAACGAUGAACCAUGUAAUGUAAUCUUUUGAUUUCUAGUUUUACAUUAUUGACAAUAAAACAUGUUAUUUGAAUUUGAAUGGUUUAUUCGCAAUUAUUUUUCCCCAUAAUUAUGUGCACGUGGUUGUGUGAAUUCGGUGACGUAUUUCAUGCAUCCGAGAAAAGGAAAAUAGACUCGACAAGGUAAAAAUCAUCAUCGGGUUCAAUAUACCGCUAUGCCCUACGUGAAUCUCUAAGUGUUCACAAAAGUUCGUGCAUUCUUGUAUAUUCACAUCCGUUAUAAAGAUAUAGUCGUGUCGUAUAUGAGAGUAGGUUUAACAUUACUCAAGAGAGAUUGUUGGAUAAAAUAUGAACAUUGAUUCUUCAAACCUCAAACGUGUGGUCAAUUUUUCGAACUAGGAUUAAAAGAGAUAGUUGCAUGGGGAUUCGUGGCCCUAGUGCUUCUCUCAUUCAUUAAUUUCAUAAAACUUGCAUUCAAAUAUCAUUUUGCAUUUAAUUUCAUUAAAUUCAUUUACAAUUGCAUACAUAGCCUAGUGUAGGUAUAAUAACUUGCAACUAUCAAGCUUGACAACUUAGUUUUGGUAAAGCAAUAUAGUAUAAUGAGACUAACUCCUUUGUGGAACGAUAUUCGAAACUCUAAAUUUCACUACAUUACUUGCGACGAACUAUACGCUUAUGGUGUUAAAAUCAAAAGAUAAUUUUAGUAAACACUUUUACAUUUUGUAUUUGAGUUGUUGAUUUUAGAGAACGAGUUUAAUAAAGAAUGUAAGAUACAACCACUCAGUUUAAGCUUGGGCAGAUCAACUUUUGUUUUACUUCUUUGACUUUUAUUAUAUAGUUUUGUCACGGAAUGUCAAAUGGAGAGUUUGUUAGGUUUUUAUUGUAUUGGGAAUUAUUUAGACAAAAUGACUAAUAAAGAGUUGUAAAAGUCAAAAAGUCAAUUGAAUAUUGUAUAGAUGAACUAGGUAUCUUAGGGUUCGAGUUUGGAAUAAGAAGGAAAGAGUCGCUGGAUUUACGCUAGUCUAUCGCCCAUUUGAUGCUCGAGCAAAAAAAAUGAAAACACUAUCGGCCGUUUGUCACUCAGUUCUCGCUUGAGCGACACACCUAUCGCUAGAGCAAUGAUGUUACGUGUGAAACCCUAGUUCGAGUUUUUUAAGAGUUUAUAUUCGACCCAUGAUACCUAAAUGCCUUCUACUAUAUAUACCCAAGCGUUUUUGGUAUGGUUGUUCAUUAUAUUACUUCUCCAUAACAUCAUUCCAAGAUUCAAGAACACAUUUAAACUUUAGAUUAAUCCUUUGAUUCUUGAGUUCAUUCAAUCACAAAUUUGGGGAAAAAAUAUCAAAUUCACAUAAUCCAAAAAACUUACUUUCUAUACGUAUGCAGAUAGGGAUGACAAUUCGAACUGUCAAAAUCGAAAACCUUGCUUAACUGAACCAAAUGGGGCGAAAAAAUCGAAUCGAUGGCUCAAUGUGAUGAAUAUGGUAUUUGAUUUUAAUGCCCUGGUUCGGGGCCAGACGGGUAUGAUAUUUAUACUCGUCGUCCGCCUCAAAUUGAUUACUCGUUAAAAAAUAAUUGGGUAAUUGGGCUUUUCAUUACUCUUUCUAUGAUUCUCUUUAACCCAAAAUUUUGACUCAUUACCGACCCGCUAAGUCCAGUUAACCUAACUCAGUAACCCUAUACCUUACUACACAAAUAUUAAACAUAUAUGGAAAUUGUUUGUUAAAUUCGAAUUUCGCAUUUGGGAAUUGAGAUAUUGUUUGCAUUUUUUUUAGUAUAUUGUUUGCUAAAUGUGAUUAGUAUUGUGUUUUUGUUUUCAUUGAUUUUUUUUUCAUAAGUUAUUUUUUUUUUUCAAUUUGAUAACUAGAACUAUAAAAAAAUAAUUUUUUUCGUAAUUAUUAACCGCCCGAACCGAGUCGAACCGAAUCAACUUACGUGGUUAUGGUAUGACCAAAAAAAUGGUGGUUCGGUGAUGGUUUUGGCCAAACCGAAUCGUUGCCAACCCCACAUACAGGAAGGUACUUUCUCAAGAACUUUCAGAGGUUGCUGAAAAUUGAUGGAUAUUAGACUAGAAGGACAUGAAGAGUACAAGAACAAAGUGUUCUUGUCGAUCCACAGGAGAGAGACAAUUUUAGAAGAUCGGGAAUAGGUGUGAGUGAAGCACGUUCCACCGAGUCUUGAAAAUUGCAGGAAUUAAAUCAGCGAGUCUAAUAGAUUUUCUAGGUUGGAUUAUACUGUAAGUUUACAUUGUCUAUAGUGGAUGUUACUGGCUUAAUCCCGGAGUUUUCACCUAAUUGGGUUUUCUCCGUCAACUUAUUUUGUGUUGUUUAUUGCUUUCAUAUUAUUGGUUAUAGCAUUCAAACCAUUAGAUAAUUUGGAGAUGUCAAUGAGUUGAGUCGAGCCAGGUCGAGAGUCAAAACUCGAGGCUCGUGAUCCGCUCGAGAAAAAUUAAGACAGGUUUUUUUUGGCCCGAGCCUAGCUGAGUAAAAGCUCGACCAAAAUUCGAGGCUCGACCCUUACCAAGCCGGCUUGAUUUAUUUAUUUUUAGGUUUUUUACCUUUUUUUUAAAGGUAGGUCUACUCCCUCUUAUUUAUUUAUUUAUUGAGCUACGAAUUGGCUUGGGCUCAGCCCGUUGUCCCAAAAUGGGGAACCGAACAUCGAGCUGGGCCAAUCGAGCUUUUUUAGAGUCAAGUCAUGGGGUUAAAAAGUGACUUGUUGCUUUUGAUUGGUAAUUUUAAUUCCGCGUUAUUCACCGAUUCACUCCCCUCCCCUCCCCUUCUAGGCGACUUUAGGGUCGAACUAUGAACUUUCACUAACGACUUUGUGGAGUUUGAUUCUUAACAUUACCAUCAUCAUAUAGUAAUUUCAUGUUUAUUGCUCAAACUAAGUGAACCAAUAUCAUUAACUGUAGCUCUUCAUUUGAGUAUAGAUCAAGUAUUAAACAUAUUUCAUAACAACAAUACAUCAAAUUGAAAACCUCGCAGCAUAAAUGUAGUGCCUAAAAACCAUGUAAUACAACAUAAAAUGAUAUACCAUUGCUUAUUUUCGAACGACAUAAUAUUUUAUUAUACUCGCAACUUUUCUUUGAACUAUUAUUAUUAUAUGGAAAUUCCAACUCACAAAAAUUCACAAUGCCACUAUAAAAUCAUGUGUUUUUAACUAGUAUACAUCAAAUGGGGUGGUAUCUUUGUAUAACUUUAUAUUAUUUGCUAAUAAAAACGUUAAAAACUUUACAUUAUCUGUUUAGUACUGAGUUUCGGUCAAAUAAUGGAUUUUUUUGAAGAAAUAUGUCCAAAUGUUCUUCUACUAAAUAGUUUUAAAAGGUUUGGGAGGUUUGGAUGCUAUCUACAGUACUAUUUUGAAAGGUUUGCAAAUUCCCCUGUUUUUCGUCUUACAUGAUGCUUUUGUUGAUAAAAGUAGACAUAAUAUGAAAAUAGCAAAUUAGGUUACCGAAUUAUAUUAACCCAUUGUUUUUUUAAAAGUAUUUUUUAUGUAUUCUAAGCAUUUUCGAAAUUAUUAUGAGUAUUCUAACAUAUUCAGAAGUUGUAGAAAAAUCCAUCCAAAUGAUUAAUUAGAUUUAUUAAUUUCAUUUUAGUAUCGCUAAAGUAGCUAUACUCUAUUUCCUUUAUACACAAUAUGUAAGUGCACAUUUAUGAUAUAUCUAUAUGUAUAUUUCUACGUUGGGAUUUCUGUACUCUUUUCAACUGACUAAAACUAUUGAUAGCUUCUUUGCAAAAAAGUAAUCAAGAAACUUUGGCGAAGUGAUUAUCGUUUAUUUGGCUUUUAAUUCAUAUAUGAUAGGCCUCCAAACCUAUUUAUGAGAUUUUAUUUAAAUGGUUGGUAGUCGAUCUAUAUUUCAUGUUUCUAAUAAAUUUUAUCCUACUGAUUUUGCAGAGUUUAAUUCUUAACAUUACCAUUUAAUAUUUAUCAAUCAUCAACAAGUAUUCAAUAAGUUUAUGUUAAUAUCAAUAUUAUCAUCAUUAUAUAGUAAUUUCACAUUUAUUGCUCAAAUUAUGUGAACCAAUAUCAUUAAGUGUAGCUAUUCAUUUGAGCGUAGGUCAAAUAUCCAAACAUAAUUCAUAUCGACAUACCAUCAAAAUGAAACUGUCAUAGCAUAAAUAUAGUGCUUGAAAACCAUGUAAUCGAUAUAUCAUUGCUUAUUUUCGAACACCAUAUUAAUUUGUUAUAAUCACAAAUUUUAUUAAAUAGAAAUUCCAACACACGAGAAUUCACAAUGUUACUACAAAAUUUUUUUUUUUUUUUUUUUUAACGUGUAUACAUAAAAUGGAGUGUAUCUUUGUAUAAAUUCAUAUUAUUUGCUAAUAGAAACGUCAAAAAAUUAAGUACUUCUAAACGGGAAUGAAGUCUUCGUCUAUAAAUUCUAGAAGGAAAAAGUAAAGAGAAGAAAAGUCGCUCAGCAUCGUCAAUACACGACAAGAAGUCAACCAUUAUUUUUGGGAGGAUUUGGCCAAUUUCAUAGCCACGCGGUGUACUCAACCAAAUCCCUACGAAUAUUGUUUCAUUCUUUUAUGGCGUCAACUUGUCAAUAGCGUGUACUUAGACUUUUAUUUUAAUAAUAUUGGUACUUAGACUUAUUCAAUGAAUUAAAAUUUCAUUUUUCCUUUAUUGGACCAGUCUUGAUUGAUCUCAACCGUCACUUACAUUCCAAAACAAAUUUACAAAUAAUUUAUAACCAUGAAUCAUAAGAUUAAUAGUAGUUAGUCACACGAAAAUAUUUGAAAUUUAAUAAAUAGUGAUUAAGAAUGUGUGAUUAAAAUAAAUGUUUGAUUUUGACUAAAUUUAUAAAUUGUAUUGCCUACCAAGGCUUACAUACUACAAUAUUAGAAUAUGUUUAACAAAGCUGUGAACAAAAAUAAAGUCGAUCAAUUUAUUCAUUUUUAAUUACACGUACCUUCACGAACCUACCCGUUUAUAAUCUCAAAAAUUAGUGAAAUAGAGGAUAAAUGGGUGAUGAUAUGUGUACAGAUUAAGGGUUCAUAGAACUUUUACCAAUACCUCACAUGGGGUUGGAGGGGAGGGGAGUGGGUUAAUUUUUUUAACAUUAUUUAUUGGACUUUGCUAUUUGUACAUCCGGUGUUGACACUCUCGAUGACACUUCGCUCACAAGAGGGGAGUCCACAAUUAUUUUAUUACGUGUGGACCCCCUCUCUUGUGAGGGGAAUAUCAUCCAGAAUGUCAACCCCGAAUGUAUAAAUAGCUUUAUUGUUAUUUAUUCGUGUGAGAUUCAUAUCUUUAAGAGAGUUUAUACACAUUCUGUAAAAAGUAAUAAUAAUAAUAAUAAAUAAAAAUAAAAUAAAAUAAAAUAAAAUCUGUACACCAAUCUUAAUUGAGGAUAAAUAUCUUUUGCAAGCUCGAGUGGUCUUCACUCCAGGAGUCAAUGAGUAAAUAUUACGCAAACUUCUCAGUAGACUUGAGAAGACCAUAACAGAUUCAGUAUAUAUAUUUAUUUAUCCUUUAUUUGCUUCCAUUAAUGGAGCAACUCGUAAACAUGCAGAAGAAAUUUCUGUUGUGGACUACCUAUAUUUGUUUCUUUUGGAUUAUAUCAGCUACAGUCGACACAAAUUCUUCAUCCGCCUCAAACACCACCAUUACCGAAGGAGACAACAUCACCCAGCCAAACUGCCCACGCCAAUGCGGAAAUCUGACAGUUCCAUAUCCAUUCGGCAUCGGCAUCGGAAGCGGCUGUGCCAUCGGCAGGUGGUUUGAAGUCAACUGCAGCACCGCCUACGAUCCUCCCCAGGCGUUCAUUGCACGGGGUAAUAUCCAAAUUUACAAUAUUUCUGAUAAUCAAAUGCGUGUUGCAAAUGUAGUGGCGAAAAAGUGCUAUGAUGAAUCCGGUGACAUCGUGGACGGAUACACUGCAUGGACAGAUAUUACAGUGACACCGUUCAGUUUCUCGGAAUCCAACAAAUUCACCAUGAUUGGGUGCGAUGACUACGCUUACAUGACGGGAGGCCGCGGCAGCGAGAAUUUCACUACUGGAUGUCGUUCUCAGUGUUACAGCGCCGAAACUGUAGUGGACGGAUAUUGUUCCGGCAUUGGUUGCUGCCAGACACCGGUGCCAAAGAGUUUGAAGUACUACAAUAGCAGAGUGAGUAGUUUUAAUAAUCACACAGGCAUCGCAUCAUUCAAUCCCUGCGGCUAUGCAUUUCUGGGUGAGCAGGAGAGAUUCACCUUCCGUGGUGUGGAAGAUUUUUUGGACACCAAUUUCACGGAAAGGAUCCAGGAGACUGUCCCCAUUGUUCUAGAAUGGGCACUCGAUAAUAUAACUUGUAACGAAGCUCAAGUUUCCUUGGACUAUGCUUGUAAAGAGAAUAGUCUCUGUGUUGAUACAAAUAACGGUCUUGGAGGUUAUCGUUGCAAGUGUAAUGAAGGCUUCCGAGGAAAUCCUUAUCUCAGUCCCGGCUGCAAAGGUUUGUUUUUAAUUACCAUAGACGCAUAUUGAAUUACUGUACAAAAAGUUAAGUUCUCUUGAACAAAAAAUGUAUAUCAACUGUUAAGUAAGUGACUUUUAUCUUGUGAUUGACAUUUCUUUUGUUUUCACUUUUCCCAUUAUUUGGUAGACAUUGAUGAGUGCGCAGAAAACAGCAACACAUGUGAAAAGAUAUGCAUUAAUACACCUGGAGGUUUUAACUGUUCUUGUCCACACGGCUACUAUGGGGAUGGCAAAAAAGAUGGACGUGGUUGCAUUGCUCAUAACUCCAAAUUUCCUGUAAUCAAGUAUUCCUUAGGUACUUCUUAUGAUUUCUUGAAAUUGUUUAGCACACCAAAACAAAAAUACAGAUUCAAAUAUUCUUUUAUUUAAUUUAUAAUACCAAUCUUUUCUUACAAAUUCAAUGUUCAGGUAUCGUAUUUGGGUUCUUGACAUUAGUUAUUGCAAUAAUUUGGCUAUAUAUUAUCAUCAGCAAAAGGAAACUCAUAAAACUGAGGGAGAAAUUCUUUCAGCAAAAUGGUGGUUUGUUGUUUGAACAACAGAUCUCUUCAAUUGAAGGCAACAUGGCGUCAAGGACGAAAAUAUUUACAGCAGAGGAGCUUGAAAAAGCUACGAACAACUACGCAGAUGAUCAAAUUCUAGGAGGAGGUGGUUAUGGUAUUGUCUACAAAGGAAUUCUACCUGAUAAACGUGUAGUGGCCAUUAAAAAGUCCCGAGUAACGGAUCAGAGCCAGAUUGAGCAAUUCGUUAAUGAAAUGGUUAUUCUUACACAAGUUAACCAUCGGAAUGUGGUGAAGUUAUUGGGAUGUUGUUUGGAAUCAGAAGUUCCAUUGUUAGUUUAUGAGUACGUUUCGAAUGGAACUCUUUUCCAGCACAGUAGUAAUUGUGCAAUGACUUGGUUAUCAUUGGAAAAUCGUCUGAGAGUAGCCUCAGAAGCUGCUGGUGCACUUGCGUAUCUUCAUUCAGCAGCCUCUCUGCCUGUAAUUCACAGAGAUGUCAAGUCUGCCAACAUAUUAUUAGACGAGCAUUACACUGCAAAAAUUUCAGAUUUUGGAGCGUCGAGAUUAAUCACCUUGGAUCAAACUGAAGUGACAACGUUAAUCCAAGGGACCCUCGGAUAUCUUGAUCCCGAGUACUUCCACACGAGUCAAC